rnacentral:rRNA from 1 species
AUGAACGCUAGCUACAGGCUUAACACAUGCAAGUCGAGGGGCAGCAUUUUAGUUUGCUUGCAAACUGAAGAUGGCGACCGGCGCACGGGUGAGUAACACGUAUCCAACCUGCCGAUAACUCCGGAAUAGCCUUUCGAAAGAAAGAUUAAUACCGGAUAGCAUACGAAUAUCGCAUGAUAUUUUUAUUAAAGAAUUUCGGUUAUCGAUGGGGGUGCGUUCCAUUAGUUUGUUGGCGGGGUAACGGCCCACCAAGACUACGAUGGAUAGGGGUUCUGAGAGGAAGGUCCCCCACAUUGGAACUGAGACACGGUCCAAACUCCUACGGGAGGCAGCAGUGAGGAAUAUUGGUCAAUGGGCGAGAGCCUGAACCAGCCAAGUAGCGUGAAGGAUGAAGGCUCUAUGGGUCGUAAACUUCUUUUAUAUGGGAAUAAAGUUUUCCACGUGUGGAAUUUUGUAUGUACCAUAUGAAUAAGGAUCGGCUAACUCCGUGCCAGCAGCCGCGGUAAUACGGAGGAUCCGAGCGUUAUCCGGAUUUAUUGGGUUUAAAGGGAGCGUAGGUGGAUUGUUAAGUCAGUUGUGAAAGUUUGCGGCUCAACCGUAAAAUUGCAGUUGAAACUGGCAGUCUUGAGUACAGUAGAGGUGGGCGGAAUUCGUGGUGUAGCGGUGAAAUGCUUAGAUAUCACGAAGAACUCCGAUUGCGAAGGCAGCUCACUAGACUGUCACUGACACUGAUGCUCGAAAGUGUGGGUAGCAAACAGGAUUAGAUACCCUGGUAGUCCACACAGUAAACGAUGAAUACUCGCUGUUUGCGAUAUACAGUAAGCGGCCAAGCGAAAGCAUUAAGUAUUCCACCUGGGGAGUACGCCGGCAACGGUGAAACUCAAAGGAAUUGACGGGGGCCCGCACAAGCGGAGGAACAUGUGGUUUAAUUCGAUGAUACGCGAGGAACCUUACCCGGGCUUAAAUUGCAACAGAAUAUAUUGGAAACAGUAUAGCCGUAAGGCUGUUGUGAAGGUGCUGCAUGGUUGUCGUCAGCUCGUGCCGUGAGGUGUCGGCUUAAGUGCCAUAACGAGCGCAACCCUUAUCUUUAGUUACUAACAGGUCAUGCUGAGGACUCUAGAGAGACUGCCGUCGUAAGAUGUGAGGAAGGUGGGGAUGACGUCAAAUCAGCACGGCCCUUACGUCCGGGGCUACACACGUGUUACAAUGGGGGGUACAGAAGGCGGCUACCUGGUGACAGGAUGCUAAUCCCAAAAACCUCUCUCAGUUCGGAUCGAAGUCUGCAACCCGACUUCGUGAAGCUGGAUUCGCUAGUAAUCGCGCAUCAGCCAUGGCGCGGUGAAUACGUUCCCGGGCCUUGUACACACCGCCCGUCAAGCCAUGAAAGCCGGGGGUACCUGAAGUACGUAACCGCAAGGAGCGUCCUAGGGUAAAACUGGUAAUUGGGGCU